rnacentral:rRNA from 1 species
CGUGCAGUAACCUGCCCCCGGACUCUGGGAUAAGCCCGGGAAACUGGGUCUAAUACCGGAUAUGACCUCGCACCGCAUGGUGCGGGGUGGAAAGAUUUAUCGGUGGGGGAUGGACUCGCGGCCUAUCAGCUUGUUGGUGAGGUAAUGGCUCACCAAGGCGACGACGGGUAGCCGGCCUGAGAGGGUGACCGGCCACACUGGGACUGAGACACGGCCCAGACUCCUACGGGAGGCAGCAGUGGGGAAUAUUGCACAAUGGGCGCAAGCCUGAUGCAGCGACGCCGCGUGAGGGAUGACGGCCUUCGGGUUGUAAACCUCUUUCAGUAGGGAAGAAGCGAAAGUGACGGUACCUGCAGAAGAAGCGCCGGCUAACUACGUGCCAGCAGCCGCGGUAAUACGUAGGGCGCAAGCGUUAUCCGGAUUUAUUGGGCGUAAAGAGCUCGUAGGCGGUUUGUCGCGUCUGCCGUGAAAGUCCGAGGCUCAACCUCGGAUCUGCGGUGGGUACGGGCAGACUAGAGUGAUGUAGGGGAGACUGGAAUUCCUGGUGUAGCGGUGAAAUGCGCAGAUAUCAAGGAGGAACACCCGAUGGCGAAGGCAGGUCUCUGGGCAUUUUCUGACGCUGAGGAGCGAAAGCAUGGGGAGCGAACAGGAUUAGAUACCCUGGUAGUCCAUGCCGUAAACGUUGGGCACUAGGUGUGGGGGGCAUUUCACGUUUUCCGCGCCGUAGCUAACGCAUUAAGUGCCCCGCCUGGGGAGUACGGCCGCAAGGCUAAAACUCAAAGGAAUUGACGGGGGCCCGCACAAGCGGCGGAGCAUGCGGAUUAAUUCGAUGCAACGCGAAGAACCUUACCAAGGCUUGACAUGUGCCAGACCGCUCCAGAGAUGGGGUUUCCCUUCGGGGCUGGUUCACAGGUGGUGCAUGGUUGUCGUCAGCUCGUGUCGUGAGAUGUUGGGUUAAGUCCCGCAACGAGCGCAACCCUCGUUCCAUGUUGCCAGCACGUAGUGGUGGGGACUCAUGGGAGACUGCCGGGGUCAACUCGGAGGAAGGUGGGGAUGACGUCAAAUCAUCAUGCCCCUUAUGUCUUGGGCUUCCCGCAUGCUACAAUGGCCGGUACAAUGGGUUGCGAUACUGUGAGGUGG